UCGGAGAGCGAGAACUUGCUGUUCCUGCCCACAUAACCCAGGGAAGCAGACAUCUGCACUCUGCAGUCACAUUAGGGAGGUGCUACCUGUACCAACUUUGAGUAGGGGCUCGAGACAAGGUGACUCCUUCAGGAAACCUUUGGAAAUCUUGGUGUGAGUCAGAGAGACAUCAUUGCCUGGGUGGAAGAAGCCAUGAGUAAAAGAUCUUAGUCAUUGUCACAGAGGAUUGUAGAGGAGCAAAACCCAAAGAAUUCACAGGAGGACACCAAGAAAGAACACAUCUCGAAACCAUCAAGGUCACACAUGCACCAAUCAAAACCUGCAUGGGGGUAUUUAUAACACCCUUGUUCAGAACUGCCAGAACUUGGAAGCAACCAACACAACCCUAAAAGGUGAGAAUGAGCUGGAAAGAGAUAGAUAUGAAUGGAGAAGGCAAAUGGCAGCUGGAAGAGAACCCAUGGACUGUGUCUGGAUGGAGGAGCCGCCACUCAGGACACGCCAGGUCUGAGAUCCAGUCCUUCCUCCACCAUGCGGAAGCACAGCCCUGUGUUUAUUAAGAAAAGCUCACAUGGUUCAGCUCUUCUGAAUGCAGUCUGGAAACACUACAUGACGGCAGAAAGCUGUUUCCAAAACAUGGCUAAAGAGUGGUUCCAAAGGCUAGAGUGUUUCCCGAUCUUCUUCUUGCUCCCUUUCUUGGCAUCUCCAUAGACAACAUGGGAAUGAAAACCCAGCCUCACCCCUGUGGCUUCACAGGACUUUACAACAUUGUUGGGGUGCUCACUGAUUUCCCAAAGUGUGGGGGUGCUUCUUGCCCUAGGCAGCACUCAGCCAUUUUGCUGAGGAGUUGAGCCUUGGCCAUCUGGCAUUGAUUUACUCUGUUCAUCUCAAACCCUUCCAAAUGAUUACUUUAUUGGGGAGGGAAGUGGGGGUACUACAAAGUGACACAUAUUCCCAAGAAAGCCUGGCAGGCAGCCUUUUCCAGACAGAGACUGUAGUGGCCUCCACCUGUCUCUCUCAGAGGGACAAUACAUGCCAGGGUUUCCUUAUAGGAACACAUCAGGAUAAAGAAGGGAUUGUUUUGAUAUUUCUAUAUGUUCAUUUUAUUUUUUGAUCUUAUUCUCAAAAGCUUUUGUGUGGCUUAGGUUUGAGAGACACUCUGGUGGUUCCUGACACCUAUUUUGAGACAGUGAGUGAAAAGAGUCUGUUUCAACACAGUGCUUGGUAAGGUCUGGUUGGGUCACCCAUGACCAAAGGAAAUAAACAGAAACUGGGCUCUAGUGAGAAGCAUAACUUCAGGGGAUGGAAGUGAUAUUGUCAACAAAAUGAACGCUGCUCUUCACAUACUGUCUGGGAAGGAGACAAGGAUAAUGACUGUACAAGUGAUUCCUUCGAGAGUCCUCUGGGCGAAACCCACAAACUCACUUGCAGGCACCUGGAUGGGGCAGAUAGUCAUGAGAGUGUGUGGCGAAGGGGAUACAGCUCUGACACUGCUGCCUCAACAAGGGGCAAUGGAGAAACGCACACUUCCAGUUGGCAAACCUAAAACGAGCCCUAGGAGAUCUGAGAAGAAAACUGCUCUUAGGAUGAGAGUAACCGAGGAGACGUGGCAAGGGCUUUGAACUUAAGAUCAAGAAACAUCGUGUGCCUUGAUGGAGCUACUAAAGAGGUUUGACCAGUUGUAGACUUUUCAAUAGUGCUAUCCUCUCCAACUGUGAACCAUGAACUCAUUGCAGGGUCUGUCAACUCAGCCGCCCAGCAGCCCUUCUGCAUCCCAGGCCAAGUCCUGUCCUCAACUCAGGACCUUUUCUCAUGUAGACCCCUAAUGUAGAAUACUGUUUCUCAAAGUCUGAACCUGGCUAACUUAGCCUGUAGGCUUCUGCUCACAUGCCUUCCUCAGGUUAGGUCUGGUGUCCUCACAAGCAUCCCCGGGGCACCAGGCUCGCUGUUUCAAAGCAUUGACCGCAAACACUCUUCUCACUGGACUGAAGCUCCAGAAGCAUAGCAGCCAUUUUCUCUCAUUGAAAAUAAUUUACGUCAAUAGCCAACACCUGUGACAAGCAUAUAUUAAGCAGGCAAUAAACAUUUGUUAUAGAUUGAACCAGAGGGAGCAAUAAUCACUUGCCUUGAGUACCUGCAUAUUUCAGGCCAAGUGAGUCUCGGGAUUUAUUCUUUCUCUUCCAAAAGAAACAGCCACUGUGGUAAGAUAUUUGGAUUAAUAGCACCAUUUGAUGUUUUAGUUUGCGUAGCCCUUCCACUCCAUCUGCGCUCUGCAACUAAAGUUUCUUCUAAUGUGUUCCAGAAGGCCCAAAAUUUUCAAACGCAGAGGAUUAAGUCUGAUGGAUUGUAGGCUACUCCCAAGAGUCCGUAAGGACUUUGUGGAACUUCUGUAUUAGUGUUGAAUUCACUCCCAGUCAGUUUGAAAGCAUGUGUCCUACCUCAAAAGAGCCCGCACCAGCUGACGCAUCAGGUUGGAGUAAGCUAAUAAAAAGCAAAGUCACACA